rnacentral:rRNA from 1 species
UGGAUCCAGACUUUGAUUCUGGCUCAGGAUGAACGCUAGCUACAGGCUUAACACAUGCAAGUCGAGGGGAAACGACAUUGAAAGCUUGCUUUUGAUGGGCGUCGACCGGCGCACGGGUGAGUAACGCGUAUCCAACCUGCCCAUCACUUGGGGAUAACCUUGCGAAAGUAAGACUAAUACCCAAUGAUAUCUCUAGAAGACAUCUGAAAGAGAUUAAAGAUUUAUCGGUGAUGGAUGGGGAUGCGUCUGAUUAGCUUGUUGGCGGGGUAACGGCCCACCAAGGCGACGAUCAGUAGGGGUUCUGAGAGGAAGGUCCCCCACAUUGGAACUGAGACACGGUCCAAACUCCUACGGGAGGCAGCAGUGAGGAAUAUUGGUCAAUGGACGAGAGUCUGAACCAGCCAAGUAGCGUGCAGGAUGACGGCCCUAUGGGUUGUAAACUGCUUUUAUAAGGGAAUAAAGUGAGUCUCGUGAGACUUUUUGCAUGUACCUUAUGAAUAAGGACCGGCUAAUUCCGUGCCAGCAGCCGCGGUAAUACGGAAGGUCCGGGCGUUAUCCGGAUUUAUUGGGUUUAAAGGGAGCGUAGGCCGGAGAUUAAGCGUGUUGUGAAAUGUAGACGCUCAACGUCUGCACUGCAGCGCGAACUGGUUUCCUUGAGUACGCACAAAGUGGGCGGAAUUCGUGGUGUAGCGGUGAAAUGCUUAGAUAUCACGAAGAACUCCGAUUGCGAAGGCAGCUCACUGGAGCGCAACUGACGCUGAAGCUCGAAAGUGCGGGUAUCGAACAGGAUUAGAUACCCUGGUAGUCCGCACGGUAAACGAUGGAUGCCCGCUGUUGGUCUGAAUAGGUCAGCGGCCAAGCGAAAGCAUUAAGCAUCCCACCUGGGGAGUACGCCGGCAACGGUGCAACUCAAAGGA